rnacentral:rRNA from 1 species
AUUGAACGCUGGCGGAAUGCUUUACACAUGCAAGUCGAACGGCAGCACGGACUUCGGUCUGGUGGCGAGUGGCGAACGGGUGAGUAAUUUAUCGAACCGGGCCCAGUGGGGGGGGUUAACGUGCCAAAAGCAAGGCUAAUACGGCAUACGAUCUCGGAAUGAAGGCGGGGGUUCGCAAACCCCGGGGCGAUUGGAGCGGCGAUAUCCAGAUAAGGUAGUUGGUGAGGUAAAGGUUCACCAAGCCGACGAUCUGUAGCUGGUCGGAGAGGACGAGCAGCCACACUGGGACUGAGACACGGCCCAGACUCCUACGGGAGGCAGCAGUGGGGAAUUUUGGACAAUGGACGCAAGUCUGAUCCAGCCAUUCCGCGUGCAGGACGAAGGCCUUCGGGUUGUAGAGCUCUUUUGUCGGGGAAGAAACACCGGCUCUAACACAGUCCGGGAAUGACGGUGCCUGAAGAAUAAGCACCGGCUAACUACGUGCCAGCAGCCGCCGUAA